rnacentral:rRNA from 1 species
GAUGAACGCUAGCUACAGGCUUAACACAUGCAAGUCGAGGGGAAACGAUGAGAGAGCUUGCUCUCUUAGUCGUCGACCGGCGCACGGGUGAGUAACGCGUAUCCAACCUGCCUCUGACCAAGGGAUAACCCGUCGAAAGUCGGACUAAUACCUUAUGCAGUCGUCGGAAGUCAUCUGAUGACGACGAAAGAUUUCAUCGGUGAGAGAUGGGGAUGCGUCUGAUUAGCUUGUUGGCGGGGUAACGGCCCACCAAGGCGACGAUCAGUAGGGGUUCUGAGAGGAAGGUCCCGCACAUUGGAACUGAGACACGGUCCAAACUCCGACGGGAGGCAGCAGUGAGGAAUAUUGGUCAAUGGGCGUAAGCCUGAACCAGCCAAGUAGCGUGCAGGAUGACGGCCCUAUGGGUUGUAAACUGCUUUUAUGCGGGGAUAAAGUGAGGGACGUGUCCUUCAUUGCAGGUACCGCAUGAAUAAGGACCGGCUAAUUCC